rnacentral:rRNA from 1 species
AGAGUUUGAUCCUGGCUCAGGACGAACGCUGGCGGUGUGCUUAACACAUGCAAGUCGAACGGUAAGGCCCUUUCGGGGGUACACGAGUGGCGAACGGGUGAGUAACACGUGAGUAACCUGCCCUCAUCUCUGGGAUAACAGUCGGAAACGGUUGCUAAUACUGGAUAUGAGCUUGCAAGGCAUCUUGUGGGUUGGAAAGAUAUUUUUUGGUUGGGGAUGGACUCGCGGCCUAUCAGCUUGUUGGUGAGGUAGUGGCUCACCAAGGCUUCGACGGGUAGCCGGCCUGAGAGGGCGACCGGCCACAUUGGGACUGAGAUACGGCCCAAACUCCUACGGGAGGCAGCAGUGGGGAAUAUUGCACAAUGGACGGAAGUCUGAUGCAGCAACGCCGCGUGCGGGAUGACGGCCUUCGGGUUGUAAACCGCUUUCAAUUGUGACGAAGCUUUUUUGUGACGGUAGCAGUAGAAGAAGCACCGGCUAACUACGUGCCAGCAGCCGCGGUGAUACGUAGGGUGCGAGCGUUGUCCGGAUUUAUUGGGCGUAAAGAGCUUGUAGGCGGUUUGUCGCGUCGGGAGUGAAAACUUGGGGCUUAACCCUGAGCUUGCUUUCGAUACGGGCUGACUUGAGGGAGGUAGGGGAGAAUGGAAUUCCUGGUGGAGCGGUGGAAUGCGCAGAUAUCAGGAGGAACACCGGUGGCGAAGGCGGUUCUCUGGACCUUUCCUGACGCUGAGAAGCGAAAGCAUGGGGAGCGAACAGGAUUAGAUACCCUGGUAGUCCAUGCCGUAAACGUUGGGCACUAGGUGUGGGGGACAUUCCACGUUUUCCGCGCCGUAGCUAACGCAUUAAGUGCCCCGCCUGGGGAGUACGGCCGCAAGG